GACGAACGCUGGCGGCGUGCCUAAAACAUGCAAGUCGAACGGGGUCUUCGGACCCAGUGGCGAACGGCGGAGUAAUACAUAAGCAACGUGCCCUGAAGACUGGGAUAUACGAUGGAAACGUCGGGCAAUACCAGAUGUGGUUGGGAGGAGUCAUCUUCAUCCAAUUAAACGGAUUUAUUCGCUUCGGGAGCGGCUUGUGGCCUAUCAGCUAGUUGGUGAGGUAAAGGCUCACCAAGGCGACGACGGGUAGGGGGUCUGAGAGGAUGAUCCCCUCGAGUGGGACUGAGACACGGCCCACACACCUACGGGUGGCAGCAGUUGGGAAUCUUGCACAAUGGGGGAAACCCUGAUGCAGCGACGCCGCGUGGAGGAUGAAGGAUUUCGGUCUGUAAACUCCUUUUACAGGGAAAGACUUAGGACGGUACCCUGUGAAUAAGCUCCGGCUAACUACGUGCCAGCAGCCGCGGUAAU
rnacentral:rRNA from 1 species